rnacentral:rRNA from 1 species
CCUACGGGGCGCAGCAGUGGGGGAUAUUGGACAAUGGGGGGAACCCUGAUCCAGCGACGCCGCGUGAGUGAAGAAGUAUUUCGGUAUGUAAAGCUCUAUCAGCAGGGAAGAUAAUGACGGUACCUGACUAAGAAGCCACGGCUAACUACGUGCCAGCAGCCGCGGUAAUACGUAGGGGGCGAGCGUUGUCCGGAAUUACUGGGUGUAAAGGGAGUGUAGGCGGGAAAGCAAGUCAGAAGUGAAAACUAUGGGCUUAACCCAUAGCCUGCUUUUGAAACUGGUUUUCUUGAGUGAAGUAGGGGCAA